UAUUACUUUGUGUCUCUUAGUCAACCUGAUCUGGUCUAUGUUCGUGGGGAGGGCAUUAUGGGCAUGUCCACAGCAAUGUCCACCCCAUAGCCACCCCAUGCCCACUCCCCCCGCACUCGCCCAUGCUCGUCGCACAGACCAAAGCAGGCACUCCCGCACCCACUCCCUCAUAUCGAGGGGCACCAUCCAGCACCCCUCCCCCACUAAUGAUCCUUCCGCAGGUUCACCUACGGAAA
rnacentral:misc_RNA from 1 species